ACAAAGAAAAAGGAAAAAGAGAAGAUAAUAAAAGGUGUCCAGAAGAUCUUCAUGUGUCGAAUGCUCUCAUUGUGUGUGCUGUGAUGUUACUACUGUGCAUCAUUGGUUUUAUCUUUGUGAUUCAGAAGGUAGGGCUGAUAAAGAUCUGGAGAAUGGUGACAGCAUGCAGCUUCAGGAGAUGAUUUUCUGAUUCCUGAUUGAAAGUCAGCGCAGCCACAAUUUGACUGAAACAAAAGUGAAGCCAUAAAGAAAAAUCACUAAGCUUCUCUUUACAUUUACAAUAUAAUGUGGGUUUAGAGAUCAUGUACACUAAUAACUGUUAAAUUUAUUACUUCGUCAAUGUAAACAGAGUUUUAUUGAGUCUGAUUUAUAGAUUUGAUUGCAUUAGUUUUACUGAAUUGAUUGAAUGAGUUUUACUGAAUUGGGUUUUUAUUGAGUUUGCUGAAAAUUAUAGGAAAGAUUUUGCAAAGUGUUUUUUUUUAGGCUAUGGCUGUCAAGUUUAAUGUAAAAUUUGUUAAAUAUGUGAAUGAAUUUAUAACAGUAACCAGCUUAUACAAACAAUAACAAGCAAUGUUACAAUGGUUUCAUUUUUGUUCUGCUUUCUUAAACCUGGUUAGAACUCAUUAUUCAAGGUUAUUUUAAAUUAACAAACUUAACAAAUUGACGGCUGUUAUUUUCAGCAAUAUGAAUAAUAUCCAAAUCUACAUCUAGUUUUGCAAAAACUGUUAUGUAUCCAUCUAUGAAGUUUCUCCUCACUACUGUCACUUUUGGCUUUACUCACUGAGGGUUUUUUUGGUAAUAAUUUUCUGUAAAGCAUCUUAGUAAUAAUAUUAAUGCAUAUUAAGCAUGUGUUAAGUGUUAUACAAAUAUAUUUUAAUUAAAUUUACCAUCUCAGCUUUAUACAUCAAACAUUCAUGAUGUCAAUGCAAAAAAAAAUAA